rnacentral:rRNA from 1 species
AUUGAACGCUGGCGGCAUGCCUUACACAUGCAAGUCGAACGGUAACAGGUCUUCGGAUGCUGUCGAGUGGCGAACGGGUGAGUAAUACAUCGGAACGUGCCUAGUAGUGGGGGAUAACUACUCGAAAGAGUGGCUAAUACCGCAUGAGAUCUACGGAUGAAAGCAGGGGAUCGCAAGCCCUUGUGCUACUAGAGCGGCCGAUGGCCGAUUAGGUAGUUGGUGGGAUAAAAGCUUACCAAGCCGACGAUCUGUAGCUGGUCUGAGAGGACGAUCAGCCACACUGGGACUGAGACACGGCCCAGACUCCUACGGGAGGCAGCAGUGGGGAAUUUUGGACAAUGGGCGCAAGCCUGAUCCAGCAAUGCCGCGUGCAGGAUGAAGGCCUUCGGGUUGUAAACUGCUUUUGUACGGAACGAAAAGCCCCGGGUUAAUACCCUGGGGUCAUGACGGUACCGUAAGAAUAAGCACCGGCUAACUACGUGCCAGCCGCCGCAGUAA